GCGGUGGUUGUUAUGCAGAAAUAGUACCUGACAGUCAGUGCCUUAGGCCUUUCUGGACCAUCUUUACCCAAUUUGGCUUGGGCAAGGUGAACUCCUGGCCGCAGCUGAUUGGACAGGGGAUAGGAACAUGACUUCAAGGCACCAGUCCAUUGCCUGAUGGGUGACCAAUCAGAUUUUUUUUUCCUUUGGAGCCUGUGGAUGAAGCAAUCAGAAACUCUAGCUAGCCAGACUCUGAAGGAGGCUGGAGCUGGGAGUUUUGGGCAGGAAGUAGGGCUGGGGGUUGAAUUAUAGGCUGUCAUGUCAUCAUAGGACACCAAAACAAGGUGAGAAGCAGGAAAGGUGGGAGACUAUGGAACCAGGUCCUGUGAGGCUCCAAUAAGUCAUUCAACUCCAGCAGGUUUGUGUUGCCCCUGAGCCUUGUACCCUAUGAGCCCUGACUUUGGGCCCUAAAAGGCUCAAGGUCCCUCAGCCAGCUGGUGACAAAACCUCCCAAGGACUCCUGCACUGUUUCUCUGACCCUGCUGCCUGUUGUGACAUCCCCUUCCUCACCCCAUGCCACACAGGUGUGGCCUUGUUCCCCAGGACCCUGAAUAUGGCUGUUCUGUCCUGGGCAGUGCAGUGCUGGCCCCUAGGCUGCUCCCAUCCUCCACAUAGCCUCCCUCACUUGGGGUUCUAGCUCUGUGGACCCAUUAAAAACCCAUAGGGAUCUUAGCCCCAUCCUGCAUGUGGGGCUCAGUGGUGGAAAAGGGAUUUAAAGUCUGCCUGGCUCCAGAACCCAUGUCUGUCUUCUGGGAAGCACUAAGCAGGCUCUUUCCCUUCUGAGCCUCAUAUCCUGACUGCAUGAAGCCAGAAGGGGCCAGGGGUGAGCUACUCCCCUAACACUCCCUGUUCUGGGUAUCAUCCUUGGUAGGCCCAUCUCAUGGAGGAUUGGGCCUGGGCACAGCUCUGCCAGGGCUCCUGGAAAACAGACUGGGCCAAGGACUCCAGACCCUGUGUGCCCCAGACACUGCCUCAGACCACAUCCCUGGUCCUUGGCUGGCAGGCCACUUGUGCCUGAGGAUGCCUGUCUCUGAUCCCAAGUGGUCUCGACUUCUACACAGCUCUGAGAAGCCCUGAGAUGGACUUAGAAAUUUGUGGUUCUGGGACCUAGAACCAGGCCCUGGUCCUGUCACUUGGAAGCUGAGAGACUUCCAAUAGCUACCGCCCUCUCUGAUCCUCACCCUCUGAGUUUGUACAGGAGUUGCACCUGACCAUCGUCGUCUCUGCCACCCCUCUGUAGAAGGCUUCCUAAGUGCCGGCCAUGGCACCAACCAAUACCUGCACCUCACUUGCUCAUCUGAUCCUCCCGGAGACUCAAAGCAGUCAGGACAGCUCACUUCACAGCCAGAAAACGGAGGCUCAGAGGUGUGAAGGGAUCAUGCCAUGUGGCUGCUGUUAGAACUGGAACACUAGAACUUGGUCCUGGCCCAGAGCCUUCUAAGCAUGCAUGGUCUGCCCCAGGGUCCUAUGGGAGAGGAUCUGUUUCCUCUUAGGGCUUAAGACCCCUCUUCAGAAGGCCUGAUCCUUUCUCAGAACCUGCAGAUCCCAGGUGGAGGUGGGAG
ensembl:lincRNA